GCGAACGGGUGAGUAACACGUGGGCAAUCUGCCCUUCACUCUGGGACAAGCCCUGGAAACGGGGUCUAAUACCGGAUACGACACGGGGUCGCAUGACCUCCGUGUGGAAAGCUCCGGCGGUGAAGGAUGAGCCCGCGGCCUAUCAGCUUGUUGGUGGGGUGAUGGCCUACCAAGGCGACGACGGGUAGCCGGCCUGAGAGGGCGACCGGCCACACUGGGACUGAGACACGGCCCACACUCCUACGGGAGGCAGCAGUGGGGAAUAUUGCACAAUGGGCGAAAGCCUGAUGCAGCGACGCCGCGUGAGGGAUGACGGCCUUCGGGUUGUAAACCUCUUUCACCAGGGAAGAAACGAAAGUGACGGUACCUGCAGAAAAAACGCCGGCUAACUACGUGCCAGCAGCCGCGGUAAUACGUAGGGCGCAAGCGUUGUCCGGAAUUAUUGGGCGUAAAGAGCUCGUAGGCGGCUUGUCGCGUCGGAUGUGAAAGCCCGGGGCUUAACCCCGGGUCUGCAUUCGAUACGGGCAGGCUAGAGUUCGGUAGGGGAGAUCGGAAUUCCUGGUGUAGCGGUGAAAUGCGCAGAUAUCAGGAGGAACACCGGUGGCGAAGGCGGAUCUCUGGGCCGAUACUGACGCUGAGGAGCGAAAGCGUGGGGGAGCGAACAGGAUUAGAUACCCUGGUAGUCCACGCCGUAAACGUUGGGAACUAUGUGUGGGCGACAUUCCACGUCGUCCGUGCCGCAGCUAACGCAUUAAGUUCCCCGCCUGGGGAGUA
rnacentral:rRNA from 1 species